AAUAGAGGGUGGUCAUCGUUCGUAUGUCGACCACGAGGCGGCGGCCAUUUUAAACCAUGCGAAAGACCAGCGGUGUUCGGCACAGAUUCUAUGGAACUAAAAACUGACACUUUUUCUGCCGAACACCGCUAAAACCACAGACCGCCCUUCUCAGUCGACAAAGGCAUGCGAACACUGGCCGUUCGGGAGUUUGGACUACACGAAUGGACUUAACCCAGAUAGCCUUCCCAUGGAGUCAAUC